UACGUAGGGUGCAAGCGUUUAAUCGGAAUUACUGGGCGUAAAGCGUGCGCAGGCGGUUUUGUAAGUUUGUCGUGAAAUCCCCGGGCUCAACCUGGGAAUGGCGAUGAAGACUGCAAGGCUAGAAUCUGGCAGAGGGGGGGUAGAAUUCCACGUGUAGCAGUGAAAUGCGUAGAGAUGUGGAGGAACACCGAUGGCGAAGGGCAGCCCCCUGGGUCAAGAUUUGACGC
rnacentral:rRNA from 1 species